rnacentral:rRNA from 1 species
AAGUUGGGCACUCUAAGUUGACUGCCGGUGACAAACCGGAGGAAGGUGGGGAUGACGUCAAAUCAUCAUGCCCCUUAUGAUUUGGGCUACACACGUGCUACAAUGGACAAUACAAAGGGCAGCGAAACCGCGAGGUCAAGCAAAUCCCAUAAAGUUGUUCUCAGUUCGGAUUGUAGUCUGCAACUCGACUACAUGAAGCUGGAAUCGCUAGUAAUCGUAGAUCAGCAUGCUACGGUGAAUACGUUCCCGGGUCUUGUACACACCGCCCGUCACACCACGAGAGUUUGUAACACCCGAAGCCGGUGGAGUAACCUUUUAGGAGCUAGCCGUCGAAGGUGGGACAAAUGAUUGGGGUGAAGUCGUAACAAGGUAGCCGUAUCGGAAGGUGCG